AUGUCCAGUUUAUAUACUUAUGUUUAUUGUUGUUGUGUUACUUUCAUUAACGCCGUCGAGGAUGGAGCCCUGCACACGUGGUUUAUAAUUCUGUUGUUCUUUGUUAUUCGGAUUUGGAUUUCAAGGGAAGCUAAUAUAGUAUUUCUGUUGAUGCAAAGGUUCACAAGAUAUACAGACUUGCAGUCAUGUUUGAUCCUCAAGUACUCGCCAAAAUGGAAGAAGCAAGCUACCGGUGGUGUUCCUGUUUUCAAAAUAGCUGUUUGUUUAAAUGCCUGCAGUUUAAGAUUCAAUUACUUUGGCGCUCAUGCAUGUUGUAGGUCCUGGAUAAGCACACACGCAUGUUGA
rnacentral:rRNA from 1 species